AGGAUAAAUUAUUAAUGUUGUCUUUCAUUGUAACUGUUAGGCUUUCUUCCCAGAUGGUGGUGCCGGGGUUGGCAAUUUGACUGCCAAGUCUUGGAAAUCCUCGGAGGACAAUCUUGACUGUUGUGCUGCCUGCCCCCUUUGGUCGGAAGUGGCGAGGGAUGAAGCCCAGAGGAGCACUGAGGCCAGUGGGAGCUGGGGUGCCCAGGACCCUCUUUCUUCCAUUGUCCCCUGAACACGGAUCCUGGGAAUGUCUCUGCAAAUGGCAGGAAGGAUGAAGAUCACUGAUGGGCCAUUGUCAGCAGAAGAGCAGCAAGACAGAGCUGCAGUGAGGCCUGCAGCCCCUUCCUGCCCCAUACAGUGUCUGAGUCAGCCUUUUGAUGGCCCGACGGAGCCCACAGGAGCUCCCAGGAAACCGUCUCAGGCCCCAGCACAGGCCCAGGCACAUAGGAGGCUUCCAGGAAAUGCUUGUCAAGUGGAACAGUAGCAAGAAGGAAUCGAAAAGCCCAACCCUCUGAUGGGACUUGCUCACGUCAUCCAGUCCCCAGCUUCAGGACCCAGCCUAGAGAGGCAACACUGUAGAGGAAAGAGCCUUCUGGGAAUCAGAAGCCAGAUGACCUGUGUGAGCCUCAGGAGACCAGGAGUCAAGCCAGUCCCAUUUAAACAAGGAGGAGAAGAAAGAAGGGGAGAUCCAAGUAUCCAAGGAGAAGGGACAAGGAAUCAUAAGAAUGUUCUCACCACCCUAAGGCCAUGCCAUCACUUCUGUCUCUUUCCACAGACUCCUCCUCAUCCAGGCCCUUGUCCCUUUACAGGAAGCAGCACAGCACGGGGAAAGGAACAUGAAUUUUGGAGUCAUGUGGCCCUACAUCUGAAUUCUGGCUCUGCCACUUAACUAGCUGUGUGAUUUCAGGCAA